rnacentral:rRNA from 1 species
GACGAACGCUGGCGGCGUGCCUAAUACAUGCAAGUUGAGCGAUGAAGCUUGGUGCUUGCCCCAAUUUGAAGAGCAGCGAACGGGUGAGUAACGCGUGGGGAAUCUGCCUUUGAGCGGGGGACAACAUUUGGAAACGAAUGCUAAUACCGCAUAACAACUUUAAACAUAAGUUUUAAGUUUGAAAGAUGCAAUUGCAUCACUCAAAGAUGAUCCCGCGUUGUAUUAGCUAGUUGGUGAGGUAAAGGCUCACCAAGGCGAUGAUACAUAGCCGACCUGAGAGGGUGGUCGGCCACAAUGGGACUGAGACACGGCCCAAACUCCUACGGGAGGGAGCAGUAGGGAAUCGUCGGCAAUGGACGAAAGUCUGACCGAGCAACGCCGCGGGAGGGAAGAAGGGUGUCGGGUCGUAAAACUCUGUUGGUAGAGAAGAACGUUGGUGAGAGUGGAAAGCUCAUCAAGUGACGGUAACUACCCAGAAAGGGACGGCUAACUACGUG